UACGUAGGGUGCAGGCGUUAAUCGGAAUUACUGGGCGUAAAGCGUGCGCAGGCGGUCUCUUAAGACAGGUGUGAAAUCCCCGGGCUUAACCUGGGAACUGCGCUUGUAACUGAGAGGCUAGAGUGUGGCAGAGGGGGGUGGAAUUCCACGUGUAGCAGUGAAAUGCGUAGAGAUGUGGAGGAACACCGAUGGCGAAGGCAGCCCCCUGGGCUAACACUGACGCUCAUGCACGAAAGCGUGGGGAGCAAACAGG
rnacentral:rRNA from 1 species